UAGUCCACGCCGUAAACGAUGAUUACUCGUUGUUGGCAAUACAUGGUCAGCGGCUGAGCGAAAGCAUUAAGUAAUCCACCUGGGGAGUACGUUGGCAACAAUGAAACUCAAAGGAAUUGACGGGGGCCCGCACAAGCGGUGGAGCAUGUGGUUUAAUUCGAUGCAACGCGAAGAACCUUACCAGAGCUUGACAUGUCACAAAUUUUUGCGAGAGCAAAAAGUGCCUUCGGGAAUGUGAACACAGGUGGUGCAUGGCUGUCGUCAGCUCGUGUCGUAAGAUGUCUGGUUAAGUCCAAUAACGAGCGCAACCCUUAUCCUUAGUUACCAGCAUUAAGUUGGGGACCCUAGGGAGACUGCCGGUGUUAAACCGGAGGAAGGCGGGGAUGACGUCAAGUCCUCAUGGCCCUUACGGGUAGGGCUACACACGUACUACAAUGGCAGGUACAAACCGUUUGCAAAGCCGCGAGGUUGAGCUAAUCGGUAAAACACUGUCCCAGUCCGGAUUGGAGUCUGCAACUCGACU
rnacentral:rRNA from 1 species